CCUAUGGUUCCUGAAAAUUUCAAGGGAACUUACUGAUAAGUUUUCUGAUAAAUGAGUAUUUUAUCGAAGGAAAUCUGGCAACUCUGGGAUGUUGAUACGGGGUUUUUCCAUAGGACGGGAGGAUGGCGCCCGCGUCCGCCCCGGCGAGUACGCACGCCCCGUGAGAGAGCGAGCGGCCGCUCCCAUAGAGACGCGAGGCUCGCCCGGCAGGGCUGGCGGGGGCAGGGAGCGGGCAACGGCGGGUUCGGGGACUCGCGGGGACUUGGGCCGUGCCCAUGCUCAGCGAACCUCGUCUCGGGUCUACGGUCGCCUCCUCUUCAUCCCAUUGCCAUUCCGCGAGUUUAGAGCCCUCUUGUCUAGACGCGCCCUGCUCUGCGUUUCCCUCCGGUCGGCCCCGCUAUGUGAUGCCACCCAUGCCAUUGCCGAUGCCGUCCCCCAUCGACGGCGACAUGCCCCGAGAGUGCAGCGCCACUCGCGUGUCUUGACCCCCGUGCCCGAUUCUCCGACUGCCCGACUCCGUCUUCGUUUCCGUUUCCGUGUGUGUUUGUGUCAGUCUUGUGCUUCUCACUCACCUUCCUCCUACUCAUCCUCGACAAAACAUGCCAGCACUGAGGUGAGGUUGGAUCUUCGUUCUAACCAAAACGCUCGUUCACUGCCGAUAUGGACACAGUAUGGCCCAAGACAACCGGUGCUCCUCGGAGAAGUCUGGCCGUGCUGUUGUCGUUAUGUUUUUUCCAAUUCCAGUCUGCCUUUUCUGGUGAGUAGUUAUUUCAUUUAUUUUUAUUUAUUCAGGGUUGCCACAGUGAGGGAAUGCCGGGAAAUGUCAGGGAAUAAUUUUUAUUUUACCUCUAUUCGCUUUCUAGAAUGGACUUGACGUCUAGAACAACAAAUUUUGCCUGAAAACUAUUUCAAAGUAUGUCUUUUUGGCCGUGUGGCAUAUCCUCAAUUGUCUGGGAAUUCUACUCAAAUUCGUCAAGGAAAUCAGGGACAUGUUAGAGAAUUUCAUUUUCUAAAUUUUGUGGCAACUCUGUUUAUUCUAUUUAUAUCAUGAAUCCUCUAAUAUGUAAUUUCCUUCCUUGAUAUUUCAAGGUUUCGCCAUUUUUACGAAAAUUCGUGUCGCACACGGUUACACUUUUUCACACCUAAACUACCCAAUGAUUUUUCGACGAGGAUAAAUGGACAGCGUUUAUCAGAAGUACUUACACCAAAUGCACGAUCCUUUUUAUAAAAGCGCCCUUAUGUACAAACAUCAUUCACAGUAGAAACGUCUCUAAUUAGUGACAGAUUUAAAUUCAGCCAAAAACACGUCGUUCCCUUUGAUGAUCGUCACUCUCUCGACGCCAUGUCUACUAAUGAAAUUCCGUCAUUCGUUUUACGAGAGAGGACGUUGGAAAUCCUAGUUUUGAGUGGUUUUU
rnacentral:lncRNA from 1 species